rnacentral:rRNA from 1 species
CGGUGGAGGUAUGUGGUUUAAUUCGAUGCAACGCGAAGAACCUUACCUGGUCUUGACAUCCCGGAGACCCUUAGGAAACUAAGGGGGUGGCUUCCAUCUGGAAGAAUCUGGAGACAGGUGCUGCAUGGCUGUCGUCAGCUCGUGUCGUGAGAUGUUGGGUUAAGUCCCGCAACGAGCGCAACCCUUGCCUUUAGUUGCCAGCAGUUCGGCUGGGCACUCUAAAGGGACUGCCGGUGUUAAACCGGAGGAAGGUGGGGAUGACGUCAAGUCCUCAUGGCCUUUAUGACCAGGGCUACACACGUACUACAAUGGCCGAUACAAAGGGCAGCGACACUGCGAGGUGAAGCCAAUCCCGUAAAAUCGGUCUCAGUCCGGAUUGGAGUCUGCAACUCGACUCCAUGAAGUUGGAAUCGCUAGUAAUCGUGGAUCAGCAUGCCACGGUGAAUACGUUCCCGGGCCUU